AGAGAGGAGGGGCAUAAACCGCUUCUGCCCGGGUUGCCCUGGAAACUGCCUUGAAAGGGGAGUUCAGUUGCAGCUGCCACACCCACAAUUAUCUUGCAAACCAAAGGUUGUUUCUGUUUGGUUUUUUGAAUACCUAAAGCAUUCCUGUUAGAUAAGUGAUAUUCUUGAAAUCCCCACCUCCCGGUCCUCACUGGCGGAAGAAAAGAAAAUGGAAAGGACUUCUACAGUGACUCAAGCAAAAGAGUGAUCUUCUUUUCUUUGGGGAAUAGAAUUGGUUUUGUGGAGCCAUUAACACAGAGAGAUUCAGAAGAAAGAGAUUUGUUUGUUAAUAUUGCUGAAAUGGAAUGAUUUGCUAUAAGAAUUAUAUUUUUGACCUGAAGAAAAAACAAUUGCUGACAAUGAAGAUGAAAACAAGGAUGCUGAGGAAGGAGAGGGAGAGGAGGAAGAUGGCCCUCUUCUAGUUCCUAGAGUAGUUUCUGGAGCAGGAGAUCAUGGGGAGGCUGUGGACAUCGUGCUUCUUGAUUUCAGCAAUGCAUUUCGCAGACACUCCCACGACAUCCUUGUUAACCAGUUGGUAAAAGGGGGGCCAGAUGAUACAUCUGUGUGGUGGAGUCACAACUGAUUCAACAACCAUAUGAACCAAGCACUCAUUCGUAAUCACAGAACAGAACAACCUUCUUUCACAAUGGCCUUGGAAGGUACAUCAAGAUCCGAGACACCUUUAGGUGGAUUUUUAAACAGGCAUUUGGCCAAUGAUCUCCACCCGCUCCUGGCUCUCUUUUUAAAGUAGCUGGGUUUUUGUUUUAGCAGUUUGUUCUUCUUGAAGUUUAAUUACUGUUUUUAUCUUGUUUUAGCCUCCCUGGGUUCUUUGGAUGAAGGGUGGUAUAAAAAUAUAACUAAUAAAUAACAGAUCAAGUA